rnacentral:lncRNA from 1 species
GGUCAGACCUAACUGAGUUCAGCAGUUAGGACCUCUGUGCAUUUUAUUGGUUGAUAAUUAUACCCCAAAUUUAAAAAGCAUCAUAGACACAAAAAGCUAAAGACCAGGGAAAAGAGAUAACGUAAUUAGUACAAAGAAUAUAUGCUUGCAUAGAAUAUCCAGGAGAAAUUACAAAUAAAUAUUAGUGCUAAUAAGAAAGCUCACAAUUUGCUAGAAACCAAUACACAAAAAUCAAUAGUUAUUGUUAAAGGACAUUAUUAACCGUGACAAUAAAAGCUUUUAAGGUGCCAAGAAAUAAAUUUAACAAAUGGUGUGUCAGAUUUUUAUGGAGAAAGCAACAAAAGCUGAUGGAAGCGGGGAAGAAAUACAGGAUUUACUAUAUUCAUGGACGGCAGAGUUCAAUAUUUUAAAGACUGCAAUUUUCCCCAAAUUUACCUAUAAAUUCAAUACAAUUUCAAUAAAAAAUUCCUGUACAGUUUUUCAGAGGACUUGACAAAACUAUGCUAAAGAAAAAGGAAGGGGAUUAGACAGGGAUGGUAGUAAUUUGAACAAUGUGAUGUUGCCACAGGGAGCAGGGACCCGAAAUAGAAGCACUUAGAAAAGGAAAUCUGAAAUACGCAGAGACGGCCUGUCAGAUCGCUGGGCAAAGGAUCAGUGUAAUCAAUGAAUGAGGCUGCGUCCUGGCUGUAACGAAAAAGAUACUCUCCAGGAAACCAGGGAUGAAAGAGGGUAAGACUGGGUAUCGACGUCCUGUCAUACCCCAAAUCAUCUAAAUGAAAGCAAAACUUGAAAACGAAGGAGUUCCCGUUAUGGCUCAGGGGCUGAAGAGCCUGACACAGUGUCCCUGAGAAGGCAAGCUUGAUCCCUGGCCUUGCUCAGUAGGUUAGGAUCUGGCACUGCCACAAGCUGCAGCGUAGGUUGCAGAUGCAGCUCAGAUCCGGUGCUGCCAUGGCUGUGGUGUAGGCCUGUGGCUGCAGCUCCAAUUCAACCUUCAAACCCGGGAACUUCCAUAUGCCACAGAUGUGACCCUAAAAAGAAAAAAAAAAAAAGACAAAAUAAACCGUGCGAGGCCAUCUUGCUGACAUCUGAGCACUGUCAUUCCUCCUUAAGGGGCCAAAAGCAUAAAUCAUAUUGAGAAUAAAACUAUAUCAAACUAAGGACUUCUGCGUAUCAAGGCAACGAUGAAAAGAGAGAGUGCCCGUCAUGGCUCAGUGGGAACGAACCCAACUACGAACCAUGAGGUUUCGGGUUUGAUCCCUGGCCUCGCUCAGUGGGUUCAGGAUCCGGCAUUGCUGUCAGCUGUGGUGUAGGUCACAGACAAGGCUUGGAUCCCGAGUUGCUGUGGCUGCAGUGGCUACAGCUCUGAUUAGACCCCUAGCCUAGGAAUCUCCAUAUGUCGCAGGUGGCCUUAGAAAAGACGAAAAGACAAAAAAAGACAACAAUGAAAAGAAAGUCAAACAAGAAAAAAGGAAAAAAAAAAAGUCAGUAGCCACUCUAAGGUGUUUACAGCCCAAACAACUAGUUUUAUAGAAGAGGAAUAUAACAGAAUUCCCUAAAAAUCAGGCAAGCAAGAGUUCCCGUCAUGGCGCAUGGUUAACAAACCCGACUAGGAACCAUGAGGUUGCAGGUUCGGUCCCUGGCCUUGCUCAGUGGGUUAAGGAACCGGCAUUGCUGUGAGCUGUGGUGUAGGUCGCAGACGCGGCUCGGAUCCCGCGUUGCUGUGGCUCUGGCAUAGGCUGGUGGCUACAGCUCCGAUUUGACCCCUAUCCUGGGAACCUCCAUAUGCUGAGGGAGCGGCUCAAGAAAAGGCAAACAAACAAACAAACAAAAAAAUCAGGCAAACAAACAAUACAAGCAAAAAGGAAGUACAAACAAAUGGAAAAAUGCUUCAACCUCUCUGGUAAUCAAAGAAAAAUUCACACUAGAACAAUCAAAUACCAUGCCAUACCUAUCAACUGACAAAAAUCAACAACCAACCAAUAAAUCCAAUAAUAAGAAUGGGUGGGGCUACUGGAACUGGAAAGUCUUAUAUAGUGUUGCUAUGGCUGCAAACUGGUACUAACACUUUGAAGAGCUAUUUUGAAACAACUGAAAAAAAAAUUGAUGAUGUGCAAAAUCUACCAAGCAGAAAUGAGAUUUUUCUUUUCUUUCUUUCUUUUUUGUCUUUUGUCUUUUUAAGGCCGAACCCGCGGCAUGUAGAGGUCCCCAGGCUAGGGGUCUAAUUGGAGCUGCAGCCCUCGGCCUACCCCACAGCCACAGUAACACCAGCCCCAAGCCACAUCUGUGACCUACACCACAGCUCACGGCAACGCCAGACCCUUAACCCACUGAUCGAGGCCAGGGAUCGAACCACAACCUCAUGGAUGCUAGUCAGGUUCGUUUACCUCUGAGCCACGACAGGAACUCCAGAAAUGAGACCUUUCGAUGUUGGCCAUAGAGCAGCACACACGUGAGGUGAUGCACGCGAGACGUUUACUGCGACACGAUUCAUAACAGGGAAAAACAACAAAUGUUCUGAAACCAUACACUUUUUAAAAUAUGCAAAUAAGUCUACUGCGUCUUUAUUAUGGAUGCGCAUGUACUUAGAGGAAGUAUGUACCACCACCACUGCUACCUAUCAGGCAGCGACAGUGUAUGGGACCCCUGGGUUGCCUGGGUAGGAAGCCUGGCUUCUCUGGGGACCAGACGUGUGGCCUUGGGCAAGGUACCUCACCAGUCUUUCCUCAGCCCUCAUCUCUAACACGGGGAUAAAAAUAGCAUUUCUGUCACAUGCCUCCUUGGGCGUUAAAGGAGCUAAUGCAUGUAAAGUGCUUAGAUAAUGGCCAGCAUACAGUUUCUCCUGCCAUCAUUAU